ACCCCUCUAGUGGCUGUUAGAAUGAUUGCCACUUUAAGUUACUUGUAGGCACAGUGCUCAGCCUGCAUGGACCACUCAUUAAAUGGACACUGUAGUCACCCAGCUAAUUGAAGUGGUCUGGGUGCUGUGACCCUUUUGCACUUAGAGAACUGCAGUGUUUGCAUUGCAGCUCUAAGUCUGCCCUCUGUGGCUGUCUACCAGAGAGCCACUGGGGGCGUUUCUGGAAUCCAAACAGACUUU